UACGGAAGGCAGCAGGGGGAAGUAUUGCACAAUGGGCGCAAGCCUGAUGCAGCCAUGCCGCGUGUAUGAAGAAGGCCUUCGGGUUGUAAAGUACUUUCAGUCGUGAGGAAGGUGUUAAGGUUAAUAACCUUAGCAAUUGACGUUAGCGACAGAAGAAGCACCGGCUAACUCCGUGCCAGCAGCCGCGGUAAUACGGAGGGUGCGAGCGUUAAUCGGAAUUACUGGGCGUAAAGGGCACGCAGGCGGUUAAUUAAGUUGGAUGUGAAAUCCCCGGGCUUAACCUGGGAAUGGCAUUCAAGACUGGUUAGCUAGAGUCUUGUAGAGGGGGUAGAAUUCCAUGUGUAGCGGUGAAAUGCGUAGAGAUGUGGAGGAAUACCGGUGGCGAAGGCGGCCCCUGGACAAAGGCUGACGCUCAUGUGCGAAAGCGUGGGGAGCAAAC
rnacentral:rRNA from 1 species